rnacentral:rRNA from 1 species
UACGGGGGGGGCAAGCGUUGUUCGGAAUUACUGGGCGUAAAGGGCGCGUAGGCGGCCUUGUAAGUCGGACGUGAAAUCCCUCGGCUUAACCGAGGAACUGCGUCCGAUACUGAAAGGCUUGAAUCCGGGAGAGGGAUGUGGAAUUCCAGGUGUAGCGGUGAAAUGCGUAGAUAUCUGGAGGAACACCGGUGGCGAAGGCGGCAUCCUGGACCGGUAUUGACGCUGAGGCGCGAAAGCUAGGGGAGCAAACGGG